rnacentral:pre_miRNA from 1 species
GGAUCUGGGCCCAAGGUGAGGGGUGCUAUCUGUGAUUGAGGGACAUGGUCAAUGGAAUUGUCUCACACAGAAAUCGCACCCGUCACCUUGGCCUGCUGA